rnacentral:rRNA from 1 species
AACGAACGCUGGCGGCGCGCCUAACACAUGCAAGUCGAACGAGAAUCCGGGGCAACCCGGUAGUAAAGUGGCAAACGGGUGAGGAAUACAUGGGUAACCUACCCUUGAGAAGGGAAUAACCCGCCGAAAGGUGAGCUAAUACCCUAUACGCUAUCUUUUUUUCGAAAAGGAUAGGAAAGCCGGGUCGAGGACCUGGUACUCAAGGAGGGGCUCAUGUCCUAUCAGCUUGUUGGUGGGGUAACGGCCUACCAAGGCUACGACGGGUAGCUGGUCUGAGAGGAUGAUCAGCCACACUGGCACUGAGAUACGGGCCAGACUCCUACGGGAGGCAGCAGUGAGGAAUAUUGCGCAAUGGGCGAAAGCCUGACGCAGCGACGCCGCGUGGGGGAUGAAGGUUUUCGGAUUGUAAACCCCUUUCAUGAGGAAGAUAAAGUGGUAACCACUUAGACGGUACCUCAAGAAGAAGCCACGGCUAACUUCGUGCCAGCAGCCGACGGUAAAGUCUAGCAUG